rnacentral:rRNA from 1 species
UCAGGAUGAACGCUGGCGGCGUGCUUAACACAUGCAAGUCGAACGAAGCUCUUUGAAGUGAGGAUUCGUCUGAACGGAUGAGAUGACUUAGUGGCGGACGGGUGAGUAACGCGUGGGUAACCUGCCGUAUGCAGGGGGACAACAGUUGGAAACGACUGCUAAUACCGCAUAAGCGCACGGUUCUGCAUGGAACAGUGUGAAAAGAUUUAUCGGCAUACGAUGGACCCGCGUCUGAUUAGCUAGUUGGUGAGGUAACGGCCCACCAAGGCGACGAUCAGUAGCCGGCCUGAGAGGGUGAACGGCCACAUUGGGACUGAGACACGGCCCAAACUCCUAACGGGAGGCAGCAGUGGGGAAUAUUGCACAAUGGGGGAAACCCUGAUGCAGCGACGCCGCGUGAGUGAAGAAGUAUUUCGGUAUGUAAAGCUCUAUCAGCAGGGAAGAAAAUGACGGUACCUGACUAAGAAGCCCCGGCUAACUACGUGCCAGCCGCGGC